rnacentral:lncRNA from 1 species
AUGUGUAUCCCAUUGUUCCGCAUUUGCUUUCGAUAUGUGCCUAUUCCAUUUCCUUUCAAAACCCGAAUAUCAUUGUGAAAGAUUAUUGCUUACUUCGUAUUGACUCGUAACGGCACAUGUACGUUUUGUUGUUCCGCGUGUGCUUCCGAUAUGUGCUACUUAUUGUUAAAACUGCUCUCUUGUACUCUGGUGUUUGUGGGAUUGUCUGGACCUUUGCCAGAAAUGGUAAAGGGUGUUAUUCUGGACCUUUGCCAGAAAUGGUAAAGGGUAUGUGCUUAGAGCCUGCGAUGCUCUGCCGGCCUCCUCUGGCUUCACCUAGACGUGGGUGGAUGGAGCUCCCAGACGUGGGAGACUUCUGUCAGGUGGUCAUUCAGAAAUGGAUGAAUCAUAUUCUGACUGAGAUCCCACUACACCUUCUGUAUGUUUGAUAUGAUAUCCAAAGCUUUGGUUAUGUGUUUCGGUACAUGCUUUGGAUAAGAAUGAUAUGAUUGCAACGUCAAAGACGACGUUUGAGCUUCUGUACGGUAUUUGUUAUUGAUAUGCUCUGAAAAGUUUCAUUCACUGUUGAUAUGCUUCGAAAUGUUCCAUAUGCCGUUGAUAUGCUCCGGAACAUUUCAUACGCUAUUGAUAAGCUCCAAAACAUUUCAUUUGUUAUUGAUAUGCUUCGAAAUGUUCCAAACGCCAUUGAUAUGCUCCGGAACAAUUCAUAUGCCAUUGAUAAGCUCCGAUAUGUUUCAUUUGUUAUUGAUAUGCUUCGAAAUGUACCAUUUGCCAUUGAUAUGCUCCGGAACAUCUCGUACGCUAUUGAUAUGCUCCAAUUACUCUAUGCUCCAUUUGUUAUGAAUCAAAUAUGUUUUGAAUGACAUGAUACAUUUGAUUUUGUAUCUAAUGAGAUGGUAUCCUUGAGAAUUCUUGUAUUCUGCCUUGCAUUAUGAUACCUUACUUGUUUGAAAUCAUUCCUUUUGUUCUGAAUAUGCUUUGUCACUUGCUGAGCUGUUUUUAGCUCACUCCGUUGUUAUAUAAAUCUUUCAAGUCAGCUUGUCACCAUUUGAAAUGUUUGAUUUGGGCUGAGGCAGUGGAUAGCUAUUCAGAAUUAUGGGCAAGUCUUGUUGGUUGUUAUGCUAUUGUUGUAUAAGCAUAUUUUGUAUGUAAUGAAAUGUUGUUGAUGAAUCGAAAUGGAUAUACUGUGUAAAAGUGUUAGAAGAUCUCUCUUAUUUGGAAUUUCGGAAUGUUAAGUCUAAUUUAUGACGAUAUGAACCUGCGGUGAAUAGUUGGAGUUCUGAUUGUAUAAUUUAUUUAGCUUGUGGAUUUAUAAAUGUUGUUCAUGUUUGUCAAGUUGGCUUGGGUUGCCAUAAAUGUGAAUUAUCGAGUGAUAUGAUAUAUGAUUAUAAAUUGCACAGGUUUUAUAGAUGUGAAUUUGAUAGAAUGUUUUCAGUGUCCUCAAAUGUUAGUUUGGAUCCUGGAUUGGUUUGUGAUGAAAUUGUUUUAAU